AGAGUUUGAUCCUGGCUCAGGAUGAACGCUGGCGGCGUGCCUAAUACAUGCAAGUCGAGCGAGCUUGCCUAGAUGAUUUUAGUGCUUGCACUAAAUGAAACUAGAUACAAGCGAGCGGCGGACGGGUGAGUAACACGUGGGUAACCUGCCCAAGAGACUGGGAUAACACCUGGAAACAGAUGCUAAUACCGGAUAACAACACUAGACGCAUGUCUAGAGUUUGAAAGAUGGUUCUGCUAUCACUCUUGGAUGGACCUGCGGUGCAUUAGCUAGUUGGUAAGGUAACGGCUUACCAAGGCAAUGAUGCAUAGCCGAGUUGAGAGACUGAUCGGCCACAUUGGGACUGAGACACGGCCCAAACUCCUACGGGAGGCAGCAGUAGGGAAUCUUCCACAAUGGACGAAAGUCUGAUGGAGCAACGCCGCGUGAGUGAAGAAGGGUUUCGGCUCGUAAAGCUCUGUUGGUAGUGAAGAAAGAUAGAGGUAGUAACUGGCCUUUAUUUGACGGUAAUUACUUAGAAAGUCACGGCUAACUACGUGCCAGCAGCCGCGGUAAUACGUAGGUGGCAAGCGUUGUCCGGAUUUAUUGGGCGUAAAGCGAGUGCAGGCGGUUCAAUAAGUCUGAUGUGAAAGCCUUCGGCUCAACCGGAGAAUUGCAUCAGAAACUGUUGAACUUGAGUGCAGAAGAGGAGAGUGGAACUCCAUGUGUAGCGGUGGAAUGCGUAGAUAUAUGGAAGAACACCAGUGGCGAAGGCGGCUCUCUGGUCUGCAACUGACGCUGAGGCUCGAAAGCAUGGGUAGCGAACAGGAUUAGAUACCCUGGUAGUCCAUGCCGUAAACGAUGAGUGCUAAAUGGUGGGAAGGUUUCCCCCCCUCAGGGCUGCACCUAACCCAUUA
rnacentral:rRNA from 1 species